CUCCUGCUGCUGCGCCCGCCCCGUCUAGAAAGAGCCUCGCCCCCCUCCCCUCUUCGCCGCGCUCCCUCCUGCCUUCUCCUUUCCCCGCGGCAGGAGGGGUGGGGGGAGAGGGCGGUGGGCCGAGGAGGAGGAGGGGCCAGGAUGACGCCUCGCGCCCUGAUUUGACACCUGCGCACCGUCGGGGGGCGGCCCCCCGCCUCGGCCCGCGCUGCCGAUGCUGAGCUCAGUGUGCGUCUCCUCUUUCCGCGGGCGCAAGUCUGGGAACAAGCCGCCGUCCAAGUCAUGUUUGAAAGGGGAGAUGGGCCGGAACGAAGACAACGACAAGAUAGUCAUCAACGUGGGCGGCAUCCGGCAUGAGACGUACCGCAGCACCCUCAAGACCCUGCCGGGCACGCGGCUGUCGUGGCUCACCGAGCCCGACGCGUGCAGCAACUUCGACUACGACCCCAAGGCCGACGAGUUCUUCUUCGACCGGCACCCGCAAGUCUUCGCCUACGUGCUCAACUACUACCGCACGGGGAAGCUGCACUGCCCGGCCGACGUGUGCGGGCCCCUCUUCGAGGAGGAGCUGGCCUUCUGGGGCAUCGACGAGACCGACGUGGAAGCCUGCUGCUGGAUGAACUACCGGCAGCACCGCGACGCCGAGGAAGCCCUCGACAGCUUCGAGACGCCCGAGAGCCAGGACGAUGAGGAGAGCGGAGACCUCAAGCGCCACUGCCUGCAGGAGGACGGGCGCAAGCUGGGCCGGUGGGCCGCCAUGCAGCCCAAGGUGUGGGCGCUCUUCGAGGACCCCUACUCCUCCAGGAUGGCCAGGUAUGUGGCCUUUGCCUCGCUCUUCUUCAUCCUCAUCUCCAUCACCACCUUCUGCCUGGAGACCCACGAGGCUUUCAACCACAUCACAAACAAGACAGAGGUCAUACAGUCAGAGAACGGCACCACCGUAAAGGUGGACUUUGAGAUGGAGACGGAGCCAUUCCUCACCUACGUGGAAGGGAUGUGUGUCAUCUGGUUUACCUUUGAGUUCCUCAUGCGUGUCAUCUUUUGCCCAGACAAGCUGGAGUUCAUCAAGAGCACCCUCAACAUCAUCGACUUUGUGGCCAUCCUGCCCUUCUACCUGGAAGUGGGCCUCAGUGGCCUCUCGUCCAAAGCGGCCAAGGACGUGCUGGGCUUCCUGAGGGUGGUAAGAUUUGUCCGGAUCCUAAGGAUCUUCAAGCUGACAAGGCAUUUCGUAGGGCUGAGAGUCCUAGGCCACACAUUGAGAGCCAGUACCAAUGAGUUCUUGCUCCUCAUCAUCUUCUUGGCCCUGGGGGUCUUGAUCUUUGCCACCAUGAUCUACUAUGCCGAAAGGAUCGGGGCUGACCCAGACGACAUCACAGGGAGCAAGCACACCACCUUCAAGAACAUCCCCAUUGGGUUCUGGUGGGCGGUGGUCACCAUGACGACUUUGGGCUACGGUGACAUGUACCCCGAGACCUGGUCAGGCAUGUUGGUGGGAGCACUGUGCGCCUUGGCUGGCGUGCUGACCAUUGCCAUGCCCGUGCCCGUCAUCGUCAACAACUUUGGCAUGUAUUAUUCGCUGGCCAUGGCCAAGCAGAAACUACCAAAGAAAAAGAACAAGCACAUCCCACGAGCCCCCCAGCCUGGGUCGCCCAACUACUGCAAACCGGACAUGCAGUCCCCACAUCGCAGCAACCAGGGCGACUCGUGCCCCCUUGCUCAAGAGGAGAUCAUCGAGAUCAACAGGGCAGAUUCCAAGCAGAAUGGUGAUGCAGCAAAUGCAGCAUUGGCUAAUGAGGACUGCCCCACCAUAGACCAGGCUCUGUCACCUGAGGAGAAGUCACCUGUCACACCUGGUGGUCGGGAACGCUACAACCGUGACCGAGCCUGCUUUCUCCUCUCCACAGGUGACUUUGGUCAGUCACCUGAUGGGAACAUCCGAAAAGGCGCCCGCCGCCUGCCGCAGCCAGCAUCAGACUCCUCUGCCACCUCCUGGUACCUGCAUGACUACAAUGCCAACGCGGCCCCCUGGAAGCAUGAGUAGGAUGCCUGGAAUGCAGGGAAUUGGGUCCACCCUGUAUUCUCGUAACGCCCCGACCGCGUGAGCCAGCUCUGAUUACCGCCUGAGACUGGCUGGGCAUGUGAACUCCAGCGCCCCCCCGGAGGCAGGUCAGCCCUGCUCAAUGCUUUCAAUCCAAACUCAGCGUGUUGUCGCUACUGCUCCUGGGGUGGGCUGCCUGGCAGAUGGGAAUCCUCAGGGCAUCACACUCUGUGCAAUAAGGUCCUUUUUCUUCACCCCGAUCAGAGUUGAGUUGGGAACACUUGUUCAUGCAGGGAUCCUUUGUGUAGUGGUGUUGAGAUGCAGCUGUCUCCAUGGUGGAGCAGCUCUUCCACAUGCAGCGCUUCCAACAGGCUAUGAGAAGUCCCACAGCCUGAACAGCAUUGCUGGACUGCGCCUGUCUCCGGCGCCCACUCCUUUCGGCUCGCCUGGUUCCGUCCGACGUCCCCGCUCGCCCAUCCCUUCCAUCCUAUAGAGACGCACCAGGGAUGCUUGGGGUUAGCUUGUAUGUUUAUUUUUUAAAAAAAAUAUAUAGAGAAGAAAAAGAAAAAAAAUAAGGUAAUGCCAAAAAAGGAAAAAGAAAACAAAGGCGGCCAAAUGCAUUGGAACAAGUAAAACACAGGAGGCAUCUCACAGGUCGUGUUGCACUAAAGUUUGCACUUUCUGGAGUGUCCAUGAGAAUCCCGAGGCCUGAAGCCUUCUGUUCCCGUGGCUAUGGAUCAAGAGUGGGGCUUAAAUAAUUUACCGAUGGGAGGGCGAAUGCGGGGGGCUGGCUUGCUCAGAAAAUCCAAAUACUCUGAAGAGGAGGAGGUCACUGAGAGAUGGACACUGCAGGAAAGGGGCUCUGGCCCUCCUCUCUGGGUUGCCUGCAUUUCUCCCCCUCUUCAACCUCACUAGAGUGCACGAUUUUUCUCUGGCCCUGGCUUUGCGCUUUAUUUCUCUCCCUUUAGUGCUCUCCCCCUUUUCAUCAUCUUACUCAGGACUGCAAUGAGCCAUAGAGCUUAGUGACAAACUUCCUUGGACUUCUCUCUCUCUCUCUCUCUCUAACACUGUAAUCUGUCUACCCAUCUCCAUAAAACAUCUUUCCAAGUGUCAAAACAAUCCACACUUUAGAUAUCCAUCCAGUCUCUCUCUCUCUCUCUCUCUCUCUCUCUCUCUCUCUCUCUCUC